AGAAUAUAUAUUGAUUAAAAUAAAAAUAAAAAAAAUAAAAAAA
rnacentral:rRNA from 1 species